rnacentral:rRNA from 1 species
ACGAACGCUGGCGGCAUGCCUAACACCUGCAAGUCGAACGAGACCUUCGGGUCUAGUGGCGCACGGGUGCGUAACGCGUGGGAACCUGCCCUUAGGUUCGGAAUAGCUCCCCGAAAGGGGUGCUAAUACCGGAUAAUGUCUUCGGACCAAAGAUUUAUCGCCUUUGGAUGGGCCCGCGUUGGAUUAGCUAGUUGGUAGGGUAAAAGCCUACCAAGGCGACGAUCCAUAGCUGGUCUGAGAGGAUGAUCAGCCACACUGGGACUGAGACACGGCCCAGACUCCUACGGGAGGCAGCAGUGGGGAAUAUUGGACAAUGGGCGAAAGCCUGAUCCAGCAAUGCCGCGUGAGUGAUGAAGGCCUUAGGGUUGUAAAGCUCUUUUACCCGGGAUGAUAAUGACAGUACCGGGAGAAUAAGCUCCGGCUAACUCCGUG